rnacentral:rRNA from 1 species
AUUGAACGCUGGCGGCAGGCUUAACACAUGCAAGUCGAGCGAGCGGCGGUCGGGUGAGUAAUGUCUGGGAAACUUCCUGAUGGAGGGGGAUAACUACUGGAAACGGUAGCUAAUACCGCAUACCAUCAGAUGGGCCCAGAUGGGCUGAGCUAGUAGGUUGGGUAAUGGCUCACCUAGGCGAGGAUCCCUAGCUGGUCUGAGAGGAUGACCGGCCACACGGGAACUGAGACACGGUCCAGACUCCUACGGAAGGAAGCAGUGGGGAAUAUUGAACAAUGGACGCAAGCCUGAUGCAGCCAUGCCGAGUUGGUGAAGAAGGCCUUCGGGUUGUAAAUCACUUUCAGCGAGGAGGCGUUACUCGCAGAAGAAGCACCGGCUAACUCCGUGCCAGCAGCCGCGGUAAUUC